AUGUGACCCUCCAAAGCAAGAAACUUGAGGGCAUGGGUCAUCCCAGCCCUGGCAUCUGCCCAGAGCCGGAGAAGGAAGGAACAAUGAUCCUCCAGCUACCUCACAGGGCUGGCACAGGUGGCCACUGCCCUGGGAUCACCCAGCUGUGUCCGGCAGCCUGAACCCCAUCUGCGGGGAUGUGAGGAGGAAAAUACAAAAGUCUUUAGGUGAGCACUGAGAAGGCAGAUGCAGCAGAAACCUCCAGGCCGUAACUACCCAGUCUUGGACCUAUGGUGGAGACAGAGCAUAGCUGGCGAUCGUGUGUACUUAUACUCUAGGGUCACCAGGCUGCACUAUGGCCUCAUCUGUGGCUCUGAAAAUGAAGAUUUGGAAGGAGAUCAUCACAGCUAAUGUUUAACAAGCCCCUCCUAUGUGCCAAAUCAUUCACCCCUCGCAACAACCGAAAGAGCUAAGGAUUCUCAUUAUAUAUAGUUUAUGGAGAAGGAAGUGCAGACAUAAAGAGGUGAAUUAUCUUACCCAGGUCACACAGCUAAUAAGUGGUGGAGGCAGAAUAGAAUCUAAACAGUGUGGCUCCGGAGCCCACAUGCAUUGAUUUGACAAGUGUUUAUUGAGCACCUGCCAUGGACAAGGCCUUGUGUGAUUAAAUAGGGCUAUAAUUAAUAAUAUAAAAAUGACAAGUCACUAAUGCUUUUUAGACUUAACAUUUUCUUUUUUUGUAGGUUUCAGGCACAGAACUGUAUAUCCAAUAAUAGUGAAAUGGAUCCCACUAAUUAUGACAGAAAUGAUGAUACAUUUAAAUGACUUGGAUGUUUUAUAGGUUGGCACUCAUCAUGAGCCCCUGUUCUCAUUCUGCAGAUGGUGAAGCUCUCUAUUGUCCUGACCCCACAGUUCCUGUCCCAUGACCAGGACCAGCUCACCAAGGAGCUGUAGCAGCACGUAAAGUCAGUGACAUGCCCAUGCGAGUACCUGAGGAAGGUUAUCCAUUCUCUGCAUGACCAUUUUCAUCCUGGGACUGACUUUUGUGGAAUUCCGUGGAUAGUUAUCAUUAUUGUGUUUCUGGGAAUUUCUACACUUGCCAUUUUCCUCUGGAAAACUAAUCUUUGUGUGUCUUUCCUCAAGACUGUCUUAAAGUCACGAAAUGUACAUGACAGAUCCACGGAUGUACAGCGGAGAGCCUGGAGGUCCAAUAGCCGUAGCCAGGAAGGGCAAAGGUCCACUCGUAUGCACACAAAGAAAAGGGUUUCUUCCUUUCGGGAAUUAAAAUUGGCAUGGAAGACCUCUAUACUUCACGGAGAUAUAUGGAAGCCAAAGUUCGAACUGAAGUCCAUAAGGUGACGACGAAGGUCAACAGUCAUUACAAAAUCAGUGGACAGAGGAAGACUCCCAAGGAAGAGUAAGAUGUGCCUUGACACAAAUACUGUUGUAUGAAUCAUGUGCCCAUCAAAGUAGACAACUGUAAAGUCCUUGAGAAUAUUUUCUAUAAUAUUUGUGGCAAAUUCAGUGGGAUCAAAAUUGAGUUUGUCCUUUCUGCUUGAU